AAAUUUUGGAACAUAAAAAGAAGAUACUUAAAAAGGAGAAAUCAGCAUUUUCCAUGAACUGCGUGUGGAUUCAUUGCCUGCAUCGGAUGACAAAGACUUGAAUGUUGCUACUAAGUGUGUCCCCGAGAAAGUGUCAGAGCCUUUACCUGGAUCUUCGCAUGAAAAAGGAAACAGAAUAGUCAAUGGACAAGGAGAAGGGCCUCCUGCAAAACAUCCUUCCUUGAAGCCUAGCACUGAAGUAGAAGAUCCUGCUGUGAAAGGAGCAGUACAAAGAAAGAAUGUACAGACAUUGAGAGCAGAACAAGCCUUACCAGUGGCUUCAGAGGAAGAGCAAGAAAGGCAUGAAAGAAGUGAAAAGAAGCAACCACAGGUCAAAGAAGGAAAUAAUACAAACAAAAGUGAAAAAAUACAACUUUCAGAAAAUAUAUGUGAUAGUACAUCUUCUGCUGCUGCUGGCAGAUUAACCCAACAAAGAAAGAUUGGGAAAACGUAUCCUCAGCAAUUUCCCAAGAAGCUGAAGGAAGAGCAUGAUAGAUGCACCUUAAAACAAGAAAAUGAAGAAAAAACAAAUGUUAAUAU
rnacentral:lncRNA from 1 species